AUUGAACGCUGGCGGCAUGCCUUACACAUGCAAGUCGAACGGUAACAGGUCUUCGGAUGCUGACGAGUGGCGAACGGGUGAGUAAUACAUCGGAACGUGCCUAGUAGUGGGGGAUAACUACUCGAAAGAGUGGCUAAUACCGCAUGAGAUCUACGGAUGAAAGCAGGGGAUCGCAAGACCUUGUGCUACUAGAGCGGCCGAUGGCAGAUUAGGUAGUUGGUGGGAUAAAAUCUUACCAAGCCGACGAUCUGUAGCUGGUCUGAGAGGACGAUCAGCCACACUUGGACUGAGAAACGGCCCAGACUCCUACGGGAGGCAGCAGUGGGGAAUUUUGGACAAUGGGCGCAAGCCUGAUCCAGCAAUGCCGCGUGCAGGAUGAAGGCCUUCGGGUCGUAAACUGCUUUUGUACGGAACGAAAAGCCCCGGGUUAAUACCCUGGGGUCAUGACGGUACCGUAAGAAUAAGCACCGGCUAACUACGUGCCAGCCGCCGCCGUAA
rnacentral:rRNA from 1 species